GGGCAAGACAAGAUCUUGGAUUAGCUUUGAGUUCUUAUGUAAAUAAAGAGCGGCAAGUUGCAGGGAUUGCUGGUAAAUUAUCUCUUAAACCUGAGGAAUCAGUGCUAAAAGAGGCAAGUGCAGGACCCUCUAUAGCUUCCGUGAAAAAGGAAAAAGAUGAUGGAACUUCAGCACUCUUGAUGAAGGCCAGCAGCAGUGGUUUUUCACCGCAUAAAGAUAAACUAUCCAGGGAGCCAUUAGCUUCAGAAUCAAUCAAGGCGUCCUCUAUGCCUGACAAUGCUUCUCAUGGAAUUGAGGGGGCACAGAAUGGCUUCCAGGGCAGAAGUGAAUCCUUAAAGGUGGGUCCUGCUUAUAGAACUCCAGUUACUCAGCUGUCCGUUGAGGGUGGCUCGUGUCAUAAGAAAUUAUCAACAGAUAAACGUGAAGUGAAGGGAACUUCAAGUCUUAAUGAUGUUGUGAUCCUGCUCAGUGAUGAUGAGGGAGAUGAGAUGGACAAUUCAAUUCCUUCAAAAGAUACGGCGGGAAAGCAGACAGUGAACAUGGGUAACAAUGAUAAACCUGUCCCAACAACAUCAAUCGAUAGUGCAAGAGUCACUAAAGAUGGAAUUAAUUGUUCACCUAGUUCAGAGAGCAUGAAAGUUGAGGAUAAUUCAAAAGAUGAAAUACAUCGUGGACCUAAUCAAGAUACUCAUUCUUUCAUUGGAGGUUCG
rnacentral:misc_RNA from 1 species